rnacentral:rRNA from 1 species
UACCAGCUCUCCGAGUGGUGGGGAUGUUUAUUGGGCUUAAAGCGUCCGUAGCCGGCUUAGCAAGUCUCCUGUUAAAUUCAGCGACCUAAUCGUUGAGCCGCGGGAGAUACUAUUAGGCUAGGAGGCGGGAGAGGUCAACGGUACUUCCGGGGUAGGGGUGAAAUCCUAUAAUCCCGGGAGGACCACCAGUGGCGAAGGCUGUUGACUAGAACGCGCUCGACGGUGUGGGACGAAAGCUGGGGGAGCGAACCGGAUUAGAUACCCGGGUAGUCCCAGCUGUAAACGAUGCGAGCUAGGUGUUGGGGUGGCUACGUGCCACUUCAGUGCCGCAGGGAAGCCAUUAAGCUCGCCGCCUGGGGAGUACGGCCGCAAGGCUGAAACUUAAAGGAAUUGGCGGGGGAGCACCACAAGGCGUGAAGCUUGCGGUUC